GGGGGAUAACCAUUGGAAACGAUGGCUAAUACCGCAUAACCUCGCAAGAGCAAAGCAGGGGACCUUCGGGCCUUGCGCUACCGGAUAUGCCCAGGUGGGAUUAGCUAGUUGGUGAGGUAAGGGCUCACCAAGGCGACGAUCCCUAGCUGGUCUGAGAGGAUGAUCAGCCACACUGGAACUGAGACACGGUCCAGACUCCUACGGGAGGCAGCAGUGGGGAAUAUUGCACAAUGGGCGCAAGCCUGAUGCAGCCAUGCC
rnacentral:rRNA from 1 species